ensembl:lncRNA
UUUAUUUAUUUGUUUAUUGGGUGGGGGGGGUGGGGGGUGGGAUGGGCUAAAAAUAAAAUCUCGUCUCCUUCGGGCAAGUUAUUACUAUUUUCUUCACUCGAUUACGAACCUUUUAUUUACGCUCACACACCUGUCCAGAUUGGGAACUGCGUAGAUACUGUCUGUGCUAAAUUCAUUUGGGGGGUGGGGGGCUAGUUCUAUCUUUCUCUCAAUCCCUUUUCACUCAGCUUUGUGCCAUUCAAGUGCACUGAAUAAGAAAUGGAUCACUGCGAACGGCCACAGUCUCCGGCUCAGACAUGACAUCAUCGCUUUUAUGGCUCACCCGGUGAGGGACUGUGUGGGGGAGAAAGCUCCUUAGUGCCAUUUCACUGAUAACAAAACCUGUGUGUGUGUGUGUGUGUGUGUGAGAGAGAGAGUGCGAGAGUGUGUGUGUGUGUGUGAUAGAGAGAGAGAGGGGCAAAAAUUCAGACAGAGCACCUCAAUGGUACACAAUGGACAAGUGUAGGAGAUCUGUCAUUGAAACAGUGUCGUAUUGUGCCUGAGACACAGUAAUGGGACGGAUUUAUUUAUUUAUUUAUUUAUGUAAAAGGAGUACAAAGGAAAGGUGAAUUAUAUGACAGUUAAUUAAACAUUUGAUUUUAAUUAAGUGUUCUUGUCUUGCUAAAUGAACAAAAAAAACCCAAACAACCCAAUAAUAAUAAUAAUAAUAAUAAUAAUAAUGAUAAUGAACAGUAAACGUGAUCUAACGACAUACUGCAGACGAAGAAUGACAAAAUUUGAACAGACACAAUUAAGGUGUCUAAUCUAUCUUAACGACGACUGUCUUAUCUUUAACACACUUAUCAUAACAAUAACAGCCUCUCAAAUGACGUGUGUGUCUGACGCAGCAGCGUCUGUACAACCUCACACACGAACGGUAUAUUUGGAUAAUGUUUAGAGUGCCAAAACUUUUUUUUAAAAAAAAAAAAAGGAAAUAAAUUAACAUUACGACGGUUUACUAGCAACUUCUCCGAAUUUCACAGUCAGAAAAGUCAGAAUUUUUUGAAUAGACAGCUUUCGGAUAAAAUCAUAUAAAUGUAUAUAAUCGCACAUACGUAUUUCACACACAAAAAAAUCUUCUUAUAUAAAGAAAUAAAAUAAAUAAAAGGCCACCACGCUAUGUCUACUUUCACGUCUCGAAAAGUUCUCACGUAAAAAAAAGCCGAGAAACGAUCCUGCUUUUUAAGACUGUCGAGAUCAGUUCCUCGUGAGGAAACGUAAUACCUGGGGAAACACGUCGUAUGAGGUGUUGGGUGGGGUGAUGUGGGGCGAUGUAGGGUGGGGACGGGGUUUCUGUUCCUCGACAUGCCACCAGACACCUGGAAGCUAACAGCUCAUAAAACACUGUGGCUAAUUGUGGUUUUCCUUCUUUUCCCUGCAAAUGGCAGCACGACACAUUUACGGCCCGAGAGGCAGUUACAAACGCUCUGCACCUUGCGUGACGCCUGUUGGGGUGGAGGGUCGAGCGAAAACCCCACUUCCACCUGACUAUCCGUUAGAUCACGGACGCACACGCACGUAUGAAAAAUAACACGGCCCCUUUCCUCCAAAGGUCUCGAAAUAUAUCUUAACUAGAGCAGUCCUCAUUAGGGUCGGUGUGGAGAGCACGGCACAUCUCAAAGGAAGGAAGCUGUGUGAGAAUGUGUGUGUGUGUGUGUGUGUAUAGUGAGGAUUAUUAGUUGGGAUACAGCAGUCACGUGACUAACUUGUGGCAGUACUUGCCUCAGAAUUACUUCACACAACUUCUUCUUAUAAACCGAGAAUUUUCAUAAAUACUCCGACUAAAAUAAGUUAAUAUUUGAUGGUUAACACUGAAAUAAAGCAGUAACACCUAGGAGAAAGGCUUUAAGGCUAAAAUAAAUAAAUAAAAACAACAAGCAAAUAAACACACAAAAAACAUGGUGCAGCUAUAAUUUUGGUUCUGAAAUGCAGUGUAAAUACAAUAAAGGUCCAGCUAGCAAAAGUUUUCUAAUAAUGUGUGUGGGCAUAAACACUUUAGGGGGAAUAAAGGAAAAUCAGUCACAGGGUGAUGUGAUGUGAUGUGAUUAUACCACACUAUGUAAACAAGCAUAAUUUUUUUUUUAAUGAUUAAUUCACUUCAUGCUUUUUAACCAUUUAUAUUGUCACAGAAGUUAGCUCUUGUCAUGACUUACGUAAUGGCAAAUUCAAACAACCAUCCCUUUGUCGGCUUCUCAUUUGACCGUCUUGACGUUAAUACAAAACGCAACUUGUAACUCACAUUACCAAGAAACUGGAAAGCGGUUGACGUGAUCUCCUCUGCCCUGAAGACGUUCCCACGGUGGGAAAAAAAAAAAGUACCUUAGGGUUACAAGGUGCUGACACUGGAGACUCCUUCGAAAACAUGUUGAAUAAACAUCUCCUUACAGAAACGUUCACCCGAUCG